UUUUUUUUGUUUUUUGUUAUUUCAGAUUAUGAAUCUCUGAGAAUUGGUGGGCUGGUUUUUGCAGUGGUGCUGUUCUUCCUGGGCAUCGCAAUCAUUGUCAGCCGAAAGUGUACCUGUUCAAAGAGAGACAACCCAAGACCCAGGGGUCCUGAUGGGGAACCAGGUGUUCGAAGAG